rnacentral:rRNA from 1 species
ACUCGAGUGGCGAACGGGUGAGUAACACGUGGGUGAUCUGCCCUGCACUUCGGGAUAAGCCUGGGAAACUGGGUCUAAUACCGGAUAGGAGCCAUUUUUAGUGUGAUGGUUGGAAAGUUUUUCGGUGUAGGAUGAGCUCGCGGCCUAUCGGCUUGUUGGUGGGGUAAUGGCCUACCAAGGCGGCGACGGGUAGCCGGCCUGAGAGGGUGGACGGCCACAUUGGGACUGAGAUACGGCCCAG